rnacentral:tRNA from 1 species
UAUAUUUAAGUGUUUAUUGCAUAAAAAUUUUUGAUAUUUUUGGAAUUAGGAUUACUAAUAGAUAUAG